CGCAUCUGUGCAUGCAGCAUAUCAAUAAGCGGAGGAAAAGAAACUAACAAGGAUUCCCUUAGUAACGGCGAGUGAAGCGGGAAGAGCUCAAAUUUGAAAUCUUCAAGGUUUUACCUUGACGAACUGUAGUUUAAAGAAGUGUUUUCUGUUGAAGUUUUGGUAAAAGUUCUUUGGAAUAGGACAUCAUAGAGGGUGAGAAUCCCGUAUUUGACCAUUAUUUUCAGCUGUGUGAUACACUUUCAAAGAGUCGGAUUGUUUGGGAAUGCAGUCCAAAAUGGGUGGUAAAUCUCAUCUAAAGCUAAAUAUUGGCGAGAGACCGAUAGCGAACAAGUACCGUGAGGGAAAGAUGAAAAGAACUUUGAAAAGAGAGUUAAACAGUACGUGAAAUUGUCAAAAGGGAAGCGUUUGACACCAGUGUUGUUUUCUCGAAAAUCAAUUAAAAAGAGUUAGAUUUUGUUGUGUAUUGACUUUAACAGCUUGCAUUUCAAUUUUCUUGCUUUUUUUAAUGCACUUUUCGUUUAACAAGUCAACAUCAGCUUCUUUUGUUGUAAAAAGGUCAUUGGAAGGUGGCUUUCUUUUCGGAGAAAGUGUUUAUAGCCUUUGACUCCUGCAAUCGGAGAGACUGAGGUCUGCAGCGUAGAUCCUUCGGGGUUAGAUACAUUUGUGCUAAGUUAUAGCUUUUUAUAGACAACUUGUUGACUAUGAUUAGUCUUGUAGCUUACUCGCUUAUGCUAUUUUACCUACGCUUAGGAUGUUGAAGACUCUACAGAGAUA
rnacentral:rRNA from 1 species